rnacentral:rRNA from 1 species
UACGUAGGGUGCGAGCGUUAAUCGGAAUUACUGGGCGUAAAGCGUGCGCAGGCGGUUUUGUAAGCCAGAUGUGAAAGCCCCGGGCUCAACCUGGGAAUUGCAUUUGAGACUGCUCUGCUCGGGUGCGGAAGAGGGAAGCGGAAUUUCCGGUGUAGCGGUGAAAUGCGUAGAUAUCGGAAGGAACACCAGUGGCGAAAGUGGCUUCCUGGUCCGACACCGACGUUCAGGCACGAAAGCGUGGGGAGCAAACAGG